rnacentral:rRNA from 1 species
UAGGGAAUCUUCCGCAAUGGAUGCAAGUCUGACGGAGCAACGCCGCGUGAGUGAAGAAGGAUUUCGGUUCGUAAAACUCUGUUGUUAGAGAAGAACAGCGCAUAGAGUAACUGUUAUGCGUGUGACGGUAUCUAACCAGAAAGCCACGGCUAACUACGUGCCAGCAGCCGCGGUAAUACGUAGGUGGCAAGCGUUGUCCGGAUUUAUUGGGCGUAAAGCGAGCGCAGGCGGUCAAUUAAGUCUGGUGUGAAAGCCCCCGGCUCAACCGGGGAGUGUCAUUGGAAACUGGUUGACUUGAGUGCAGAAGAGGAGAGUGGAGUUCCAUGUGUAGCGGUGAAAUGCGUAGCUAUAUGGAGGAACACCAGUGGCGAAGGCGACUCUCUGGUCUGUAACUGACGCGGAGGCUCGAAAGCGUGGGUAGCAAACAGG